rnacentral:rRNA from 1 species
UACGAAGGGGGCUAGCGUUGCUCGGAAUUACUGGGCGUAAAGGGCGCGUAGGCGGAUAUCUAAGUUGGGGGUGAAAUCCCGGGGCUCAACCUCGGAAUUGCCUUCAAAACUGGAUAUCUUGAGUUCGGGAGAGGUGAGUGGAACUCCGAGUGUAGAGGUGAAAUUCGUAGAUAUUCGGAAGAACACCAGUGGCGAAGGCGACUCACUGGCCCGAUACUGACGCUGAGGUGCGAAAGCGUGGGGAGCAAACAGG